GAUGAACGCUGGCGGCGUGCCUAAUACAUGCAAGUCGAGCGAACAGAUAAGGAGCUUGCUCCUUUGACGUUAGCGGCGGACGGGUGAGUAACACGUGGGUAACCUACCUAUAAGACUGGGAUAACUUCGGGAAACCGGAGCUAAUACCGGAUAACAUUUGGAACCGCAUGGUUCUAAAGUGAAAGAUGGUUUUGCUAUCACUUAUAGAUGGACCCGCGCCGUAUUAGCUAGUUGGUAAGGUAACGGCUUACCAAGGCAACGAUACGUAGCCGACCUGAGAGGGUGAUCGGCCACACUGGAACUGAGACACGGUCCAGACUCCUACGGGAGGCAGCAGUAGGGAAUCUUCCGCAAUGGGCGAAAGCCUGACGGAGUAACGCCGCGUGAGUGAUGAAGGGUUUCGGCUCGUAAAACUCUGUUAUUAGGGAAGAACAAACGUGUAAGUAACUGUGCACGUCUUGACGGUACCUAAUCAGAAAGCCACGGCUAACUACGUG
rnacentral:rRNA from 1 species